GCAAGUCGAGCGAAUCAAUAGAAGCUUAGCUCUUUUGGUUAGCGGCGGACGGGUGAGUAACACGUGGGCAACCUGCCUGUAAGACUGGGAUAACACCGGGAAACCGGUGCUAAUACCGGAUAAUUCAUUCCCUCUCAUGAGGGAAUGUUGAAAGUCGGUUUCGGCUGACACUUACAGAUGGGCCCGCGGCGCAUUAGCUAGUUGGUGAGGUAAUGGCUCACCAAGGCGACGAUGCGUAGCCGACCUGAGAGGGUGAUCGGCCACACUGGGACUGAGACACGGCCCAGACUCCUACGGGAGGCAGCAGUAGGGAAUCUUCCACAAUGGACGAAAGUCUGAUGGAGCAACGCCGCGUGAGCGAUGAAGGCCUUCGGGUCGUAAAGCUCUGUUGUUAAGGAAGAACAAGUACGAGAGUAACUGCUCGUACCUUGACGGUACUUAACGAGAAAGCCACGGCUAACUACGUGCCAGCAGCCGCGGUAAUACGUAGGUGGCGAGCGUUAUCCGGAAUUAUUGGGCGUAAAGCGCGCGCAGGCGGUUUCUUAAGUCUGAUGUGAAAGCCCACGGCUCAACCGUGGAGGGUCAUUGGAAACUGGGAAACUUGAGUGCAGAAGAGGAAAGCGGAAUUCCACGUGUAGCGGUGAAAUGCGUAGAGAUGUGGAGGAACACCACGUGGCGAAGGCGGCUUUCUGGUCUGUAA
rnacentral:rRNA from 1 species